GUGACUUUGAGACUAUGUCACUUGAAAACAUUUAUUAUAAAAAAUCUCCAAAAAUUCAAAUGAAAUAAACCUCUGAAAGCAUAAUAACGUUAGGUAACUUGAUAAUAUAUCAUUUGCAUUUAUUUUUCCGGACCAUUGAACAGAAACUAGUUCAUUUCAAAGAUUAAAUUUUCUUAAUUAGAUAGAUGAAGUCAAAGGUCAAAAUGUAGUUAGAGUAUUGACAUUAUUAAUAUGCUAGAUAUUUGUACUAUGAGCUUAAAGAAACAUUCUCUACUUGGGAGGCUGAGGUAGGGAGACCCCUGAGGCUGAGAAUUCAAGACCAGCCUGGGCAAUAUAGCCAGACCCCCCUUCUGAAAAAAAGUUUUUUUUCAAUAAGCCAGGCAUGGUGCCACAUGCCUGUAGUUCCAACAGAAAGAUCACUUGAGCCCUGGAGUUUGAGGCUGCAGUGAGCUAUGAUCAUGCCAUAGUACUCCAGCCUGGGAAACAGUAUGAGACUGCCUCUAAACUUUUUUUUUAAUUUUCUUUAAUUUUUUUUAAUUAAUUAAUUUUUUAAUUAUUAUUAUACUUUAAGUUUUAGGGUACAUGUGCACAAUGUGCAGGUUAGUUACAUAUGUAUACAUGUGCCAUGCUGGUGUGCUGCACCCACUAACUCGUCAUCUAGCAUCCAAAGAAUCACAGCAUAGUCAAUUACAUCAAAAUUGAAAGCUUUGUCCCCAGUGCCCAGAAGUGGUAUAAUGUAAAUUUUAAUUUGUUUCUUUUGUUAAUAUAUCAAAUUGCAAGUGAUUCAUAGAAAACAUUUUGAAGGAAGAGAGUAGGGUCUUGAGCUUUCUUAAAAAGUGAAUUUUAGUUGACUCUAACAUAGAGGCAUCUUGGAGGGUAAAUACUAUUUUGCCCCAGUUAUAAUUGUGUUUGAAUGAAAUGCUGGAGAAAGCGUAGUGACAUUAUUCUUUCAUUAGUUUUGUUUUUGCUUUUCGAUAUUUUGUUUAUUUUGCUAAAUACUAGUUCCUAGAAAAGUACAAAAGUCGGUAAUGGUUCUAAUAUUAGGAGACUUCAGUCUGCUCUUAGCUGAGAUUAUCUGAGACAUAUGUGCUUCUCUGUGCAUGAUCAAGACUAAGGAGUUAUUUAAUCCCUAUCAAGUAUCAGACACUGCUCUAGGUUCUGGGACAUAGCAACAAGCAAAAGGAAGUUCCAAAUGUCAUGGAACUCACAUUGUAAUUGGCAAUGAUAGACAAUAAAUGGUUAUGCAGUAUUUCCAAUGAUGACAAAUGCUGUGGGAAAAAAAAAAAGCUAGGAAAAAAUGGUUAAGGGAUGGAGAGUGAUGCAAAGGGUGCCAUUUUAUAAAGAUUAGGUAGGAGCAACACGCAAAUAAGGGACAUUCUAACAAAGACUUGAUUGGAGAGUGUGAGCCAAGUAAAUGUCUCCAGGAAGAGCUUCACAAGCAGAAGCUAUGUAGGUGCAGAGGCAGUGAAUGGAAGCAUACUUGGUUUCACCACCAAAAAGUCAGGGCUGAUGGAGUGAACUUUGAGAAGGAAAGAAUGGUGAGGUAUAAAUUCAAUCAAGUUAGCCAGAGGUCAUAUAAUAUGGGUUCCACACAAUCAUAGUAUUCUGAGUGAGAUGAAAAGUUGUUCGAGGUUUUUGAGCUUAAAUGACAUAGUCUGUUUCAUUUCAAUAGAAUCAUUCUGGCUACUAUGUGGACAAAAACUGUAGCAGGUAAAGAACAGGAGCCAAGAAGCCAGUAUGGAGCCAAAGAGCAGGCCAAGUGAGGGAUGAUGACUCACUCACUGGCUAGCUGAGUGGUUCUUGGGUAUGUAGAAAUCUUCAUUUCUUCUGAAUGUUUUGACUUAGAAGCUUCCAUCUGUGACAUAAAUGGAUAAUGACUCACUCACUGGCUAGCUCAUUAGUUCUUGGGUAUGUAGAAAUCUUCAUUUCUUUUGAAUGUUUUGACUUGCAAGCUUCCAUCUGUGACAUAAACGAAAGUCUCAUUUGAUUACCAUCCAAAGCAACUAUGAGCAAAGCUACCAUCUCUGGCUUGAAGUUAUCUCCAAGUUAUUGUCUAUGAUGAAGAACAGCAUUACCAGAAUGACAAAAAGCAAAUUUUUGAUUUUAUUUUCAUCUUUUAGCCUUAUUGAAUAGAUGUUUAUAGGAAAGAGUAUUAGUAUUUAAAAGAUUUAUAUUAAUGUCUAUUAUACCUACUUAGGUCCGUGAUUGAAUUUUAUUCUUAUCUUGUAGAGAAAAGAGAGUAAAGGAUCUUAGAUGACGGACUUGGAAUUGUUGAAUCUUUUCCCUGCAGAAGGCAGUGUUUCUUGUAUGUGAGGGUCAGGUGUGUCCUGGAAACAAAUGCAAAAAGAAGACUUAACCUUCAAGAAAAUUCAUGUCUAAUUUUGGAUCUCUCAGAGCAGCAUUAAAAAAAAAUGAAAACAAAGAGUGGAAAAAGGGAGAUUAGAUAGUAGAAUAGAUUGUUGCAUCCUGGAUUUUCAUUCUUUUCUUUUAUCUCUGCAGCCUUGAGGAUUUAUUGGCACCCAUUUCAUUUGUCUUUCUCUGGAUUUAACAUUGAGGUGAUGAGAUGGAAUAUUACCUGUAUGCUUCGGAACAUCUAUGAGUGACAUGUAAUAGUUGCCUGGGAAACUAGAGAUGAAAUUCUACAGGUCUUUGAAAUGCUUUACAUUUGAGAAUGAAGCUCAGCUGAAGUUUGAACAGCAUACUGACAUAUACCAACAAGAAUGAAAAUAACUUAACAGCAAUUUUAUAAAUUCACAUCCCCCAGAGCACCACAGAGUAAAGAAAUACUGCAUAUGGGUAACAACUGGUUCUUAGUUACUAAAUCUGAAAGAUCAAAUACAGUUAAUUACAUAAGCUUCUCUUGAGUUUUUCUGGGGGAAUAUACCAGGAGACCAUAAUCAAGCGCUUUCAGCAUCACCAGUGGCAUUUCAUACUGGUCCCAUGGUGUUAAUCCAGGUUUCUGGUAUUGCACUAAACACGAUGAAAAACAGGAGAGAACGGAGAGGGAUCAUGUUUUACCACAAUAUGCAAUUUAUGGGAGAGAUGAAGCGCUCAGGUGGAGAUGACUAGUGUCACGUGGUGUUUUAAGUGGAUACUCACAACGCUGGAACUCACAGCAAUAACAACAAGAGAUCCUCUAUAGACUGUUGAUGUAUAGCCAUGAGAAAAAAAAAAGAAAAAUUUUUGCUCUCAAUGAGCUUGCAUUUAAGCAUCUAUAAAAGGUGAGAUUAAUAUUUACUCAGUGAACUUUGAGUAAAGCAUUGGGUGCUUCAUUAUGUGGAGGAGUCUCAUCCAAUCAGUUGAAGGUGACUGAAUGGAACUAUAGAUCGACCUCACAUAAAUGAGAGGGAAUUCUGCAACAGAUCAUCUUUGCCUUUGAACUGCAGCAUGGACUCCCCUCUGGGUCUCCUGCCUGCCAGCCCACCCUGCAGAGUGCAUUUGCCAGCCUCCACAAUCAGGUAAUUUAUCCUGUGCAUUAACAAGAGGAAGUCUAGAGCCAUGGAAACCAAGUCAGGAAACUUCUCUCUUAUUAUUAGGUCCACUGCAAAUCUAGUUGAGACUGCAAAUCGAGCUAAUGAUAUCUUAAGUUAGAACAUCAUGCCAAGAGAAGUAUGUUUUCAACCAAGAAAGCAAAAUCAACAUGAUCCUAAAUGAACUGCUUCUGCAUGUCAACAGUCUUGAUAUACCUGAGAGAGUGAGAUACAGAGUAUGUUGUUAAACUUUUUAUAAUUACAAAUAUUGCUUGUAUUUCUUUUGAAAUUUGCCACACGCUGAUAUUAAAAAUAAUAGAUAGAAAAUCAAGAGA
rnacentral:lncRNA from 1 species